rnacentral:lncRNA from 1 species
AUGGUGCCGCCACCGCUCUAUGGUGCCGCCACCGCUCUAUGGUGCCUAUGGUGCCGCCACCGCUCUAUGGUGCCGCCACCGCUCUAUGGUGCCGCCACCGCUCUAUGGUGCCGCCACGUGAGCCGCGAGCGCCGCCUGCCGGACCCGCCCGGCGCCCCGCCGCACACAGAAUCACGCAGAAGCUCGAUGUUGGUCAGGACCUUCAGCAUCAUCCCGUCCAGCCGCCGACACCCGGGCCGCGCCGCGCGCUCCGCCGUUUCCCCGGCCCCACGUCGGCGUUUCACGGCGUUCAUCGCCCGCAGCCACAGCGAGGUCUCAGCGCGAUGCCCGUCCCCCGCCGUCCUCCUCCUCCACCGCGUUCCAGCGGCGCCGCAGUUGGCACAGCAGCGCGGGCAGCAGCGAGUCCAGCAGGGGCAGCCCGGCGGGCGUGCAGCGCAGCGCCCUGUGCAGGCAGCACCUGAGCACCGCCCCGCACCGAGCCCGCACCGCCGCCCCGGCACUCACCGCCCGUUCAGCCGCAGCCAGCCCCGCUCCUGCAGCUCUCUCGCCUCCCCCGGCGCCCCGAACGCGUCCUCCAAGCUCAGGCGGGGGGAGAAGAACCCCCAGCGCUGCGAGGGAUCAGCGGUCAGCGGCGGCUCCUCGUUUCGGUGCCCGCGGCCGGCAGGUGCUCACCUGCUGCGUGACGCCUUCAUCCGUGCGCAGCCCCAGCGCCAGCACCUCCUGCAGCCUGCGGACACGGAGGUUACGGGGCUGGGAGAGGCGCGGAGGGCGCUCCUCCGUCCCGUCCCGUCCUCACAGCUCCAGUGGGCUCAGCGCUGCCCGCCGCCGGGUGCCGUGCCCGCAGCUCCGCACCUCCCGCAUCCACGUGUCAGGAUGCGGCGUCUGCACGCGUGCCUCGCGCAGGCGGCCGCCCUCUCCCCACGGCACGAAGCGGCCGUGUGCCCCUGCAACGGCACAGAGAGAGCAGAGAGGAUGCGGCGCACACGCGGCCCCACGCAGGGUCAGCACCGCCAGCCCCAGGGCUUACCCGGCCCCACGCCCACGAACUGCUCGGCCCGCCAGUAG